rnacentral:rRNA from 1 species
CUGAGUCUUGUAUUGGAAUGAUGGGAAUCUAAACCCCUUCCAGAGUAUCAAUUGGAGGGCAAGUCUGGUGCCAGCAGCCGCGGUAAUUCCAGCUCCAAUAGCGUAUAUUAAACUUGUUGCAGUUAAAAAGCUCGUAGUUGAAUUUCUGCUGUUUCGUUGACUGCGUUUGGCGUUUGUCAUCGUUGCGGCUUGGUUGGGUUUCGAUUAUUCGUUUCCCGGCGUUUACUUUGAGAAAAUUAGAGUGCUUGAAGCAGGCUUUUGCCUUGAAUACUUUAGCAUGGAAUAACGGAGUAGGACUUUGGUUCUAUUUUGUUGGUUUUAGGAGCCAGAGUAAUGGUUAAUAGGAACAGUUGGGGGCAUUCGUAUUUGACUGUCAGAGUAAA